CACACCAGACUGUUGUUGAUUGUGUGCGCUUUGAUCUGGGUGCAUCUGACAUGCAAUGUGUACUUUCUUUCUUUCUUUCUUUCUUUCUUGUUAAGGCAGGCGUGAACUUGUAGAGAGAUAUGCUGCAUGAUUCACACCUAUGCUGAGUCAAAAGAGCUCCAGUGUUCUGCACAGACAGUGAAGCACAGAGUCAACCAUUGUUUUUCUGAGCACACUGAACACAUUUAAAGGAGAAGAGAAAGAGAGAGAGAGAGGGUGGCCUGCCUAAUGGCAGAGAGCUGGAUGUCCCAGUGAGGUCAGGUUGGACGGAAGGUCAUGGGGUCAUUUACGCUGGGGAAAGCUGCUUCUCUGGAGCUACUGCUGGAAGCCUGCAUUCGUGCGUUUGAUGAUGAAGGAGAGCUGCAUGAAAAUCAGCUUCCCCGAACCCUUCUCCUGAUGCAUCGCUGGUAUGUGUCCUCCACCGAGCUCGCUGGGAAGCUUCUGAUUAUAUAUCCUGUGCAAGUCUAGUAUGAGCAUGUGUGGUUUGUGUGUGA